AACGAACGCUGGCGGCGUGCCUAACACAUGCAAGUCGAGCGCGAAAAGGGCAACCUGAGUAGAGCGGCGCACGGGUGCGUAACACGUGGGUAAUCUGCCUUAGAGUCGAGGAUAACCUUCCGAAAGGUUGGCUAAUACUCGGUAAGCUUACGGUGUCUUCGGACGCUGUGGGAAAAGUAGGCCUCUGUUUACAAGCUUACGCUCUGAGAUGAGCCCGCGGCCCAUCAGCUAGUUGGCGGUGUAACGGACCACCAAGGCAACGACGGGUAGCUGGUCUUAGGAGGCGAUCAGCCACACUGGAACUGAGACACGGUCCAGACUCCUACGGGAGGCAGCAGUGGGGAAUUGUCCACAAUGGGCGAAAGCCUGAUGGAGCAACGCCGCGUGUGUGAUGAAGGUUUUCGGAUCGUAAAGCACUUUCGACUGGACGAAAAACCUUUGGCUAACAUCCAAGGGCCUGACGGUACCAGGAGAAGAAGCACCGGCUAACUCUGUGCCAGCCGCCGCCGUAAAAC
rnacentral:rRNA from 1 species